UGGGGAAUAUUGCACAAUGGAGGGAACUCUGAUGCAGCGACGCCGCGUGAACGAAGAAGGCUUUCGAGUCGUAAAGUUCUUUUAUAUGGGAAGAUAAUGACGGUACCAUAAGAAAAAGCCCCGGCUAACUACGUGCCAGCAGCCGCGGUAAUACGUAGGGGGCGAGCGUUGUCCGGAAUUAUUGGGCGUAAAGGGUACGUAGGCGGUCUAUUAAGUCAGGUGUGAAAGCGUGAGGCUUAACCUCAUUAAGCACUUGAAACUGAUAGACUUGAGUGAAGGAGAGGAAAGUGGAAUUCCUAGUGUAGCGGUGAAAUGCGUAGAUAUUAGGAGGAAUACCGGUGGCGAAGGCGACUUUCUGGACUUUUACUGACGCUCAGGUACGAAAGCGUGGGGAGCAAACAGG
rnacentral:rRNA from 1 species